GUUGUGAGUUGCAAAAUGUCUGCUGGAAAAAAAUUUGAUGCAGUAUGGAAACAAAUAACGGUAUAUCGUCAGAGCUUCACUUCAUUGAGAGUUCACUAGCCAUGAUCAGGAAUGGAAUCAGUAAUAAAAGCAGUGACGGCAUGAGAGUUAAGUGGAACAGUGUGGAAGAUCCUUGAACACUGAAACCUUUGAAUCUGCCGAUGACUGGAAAACCACUAAAAUCUUGGACUUCAAACCUUUACAGGGUACCGUCGAGGUUGCAGACAUGUGUUGUGCCACAUCCUGCAUUAAGCUUCUAAAAUUCUUCCAAUUUAAAAAGGUAAGUUCUUCUGUUUCGAACCAAUCAAAAGCCACACCUUGCUUAGGUUCUUAAAGCAACUCAAUGCAAUCAAUAUACAGUGUCCUCAUUUCAAAACUCACAGGGAAGAUAUGCAAUAAUUUAUCAGAAAGAAAAAAGGGCGAUUUCUGCUUCAG